rnacentral:rRNA from 1 species
AGUAACACGUAAGCAACCUGCCUAUUAGAGGGGAAUAACAGUGAGAAAUCAUUGCUAAUACCGCAUAUGCCAUAGGAACCACAUGGUUCUAGUGGGAAAGGAGAAAUCCGCUAAUAGAUGGGCUUGCGUCUGAUUAGAUAGUUGGUGGGGUAAUGGCCUACCAAGUCAACGAUCAGUAGCCGGACUGAGAGGUUGAACGGCCACAUUGGGACUGAGAUACGGCCCAGACUCCUACGGAAGGCAGCAG